rnacentral:rRNA from 1 species
CCCUUAGAUGUUCUGGGCCGCACGCGCGCUACACUGUUCGACGCAGCGAGUCUUAACCUUGACCGAAAGGUUUGGGUAAUCUUCAGCAAAGUCGAACGUGUUGGGGAUCGAUCAUUGCAAUUAUUGAUCGUGAACGAGGAAUUCCUAGUAAGUGCAAGUCAUCAGCUUGCGCUGAUUACGUCCCUGCCCUUUGUACACACCGCCCGUCGCUACUACCGAUUGAAUGGUUUAGUGAGAUCUCUGGAUUGACGCUGGCUAGGGGGCGACCCUUGGCCAGACUGUUGAGAAACUGCUCAAACUUGAUCAUUUAGAGGAAGUAAAAGUCGUAACA